GACGAACGCUGGCGGCGUGCUUAACACAUGCAAGUCGAACGGAAAGGCCUUUUCGGAGGUACUCGAGUGGCGAACGGGUGAGUAACACGUGGGUGAUCUGCCCUGCACUCUGGGAUAAGCCUGGGAAACUGGGUCUAAUACCGGAUAGGACCGCACUUUAGUGUGUGUGGUGGAAAGUUUUUUCGGUGUAGGAUGAGCCCGCGGCCUAUCAGCUUGUUGGUGGGGUAAUGGCCUACCAAGGGGGCGACGGGUAGCCGGACUGGGGGGUUGGUCGGCCACAGUGGGAAUGGGAGCGCGCCGGGCCCCCGGCGGGGGGAGGGAGGGGGGAAGGUGGAAGAAGGGGCGGAGGCCGGAUGCGGCGAGCCCGGGGGGGGGAGGGCGGCUUGCGGGUUGAAAACCCUUUUCCCCAGGAAAAAAGCGUUUUGGGAGGGGACGGGGAAAAAAAGCCCGGGCAAACUACGUG
rnacentral:rRNA from 1 species